UUAAACCAGCUGAUGAGAUGGCCAACUCUUUUGAAUGUGCAGCCGAAUUCCUUUUAUGUAGAGCAUUUUUUUCCCCCUUCUUCAGAAAACCUUUUUGGAAAAAUAAGCCUUUCUCUCAACAUCUGAAGCAACAGAGUUCCAUAUCUUUGUGAUUUGUAUCUCUUGCUUUAAAGUCCCACCUCAGUUUUGUGGCUGACAUGUUAUGUUUUACACUUAAAUCAUCAGAAUGGCUUUAGAAGUUCAUUUUGAAGCUGAAGCUUGACACCUUGACACUAGCUAAGGAAUUACAGUGGAGUAAUCAAAGAGAGCCUACUAAGCCAUUCCAUCCUAGUUGAAGCAAUAGACCUAGUACUGGUAAAUCUAUUCAUUCUGAAUGUCUGCCAAGAUACUAAAGAAGAAAAAGGGAUUGCCCCAGGCUGGCAUUUCCUGUCUGGAAGUAUAUGGACAGAUAACAGAAACCAAUACGUAACCAAAAGCUUUAGGUUUAGAUCAGAGGUCAAAUUAAAAAAUAAAGAAAUUAAAAUAAUAAAAAAAUAAAAA